GUGGACCCGUCCGCAUCCUAUUGUGAUCCCCAUCUUCGCAAAACACCGGGCAGGGGCGGGAGGGAUCGCUUUCAACUAACGCUAUUAUUGAUACAGUU
rnacentral:misc_RNA from 1 species